GACGAACGCUGGCGGCGUGCUUAACACAUGCAAGUCGAACGGAAAGGCCCUGCUUUUGUGGGGUGCUCGAGUGGCGAACGGGUGAGUAACACGUGAGUAACCUGCCCUUGACUUUGGGAUAACUUCAGGAAACUGGGGCUAAUACCGGAUAGGAGCUCCUGCUGCAUGGUGGGGGUUGGAAAGUUUCGGCGGUUGGGGAUGGACUCGCGGCUUAUCAGCUUGUUGGUGGGGUAGUGGCUUACCAAGGCUUUGACGGGUAGCCGGCCUGAGAGGGUGACCGGCCACAUUGGGACUGAGAUACGGCCCAGACUCCUACGGGAGGCAGCAGUGGGGAAUAGUGCACAAUGGGCGGAAGCCUGAUGCAGCAACGCCGCGUGCGGGAUGACGGCCUUCGGGUUGUAAUCCGCUGUCGCCUGUGACGAAGCGUGAGUGACGGUAAUGGGUAAAGAAGCACCGGCUAACUACGUG
rnacentral:rRNA from 1 species